AAUAACUAUAAUUUUACCAUUAUUCAUAUUCAACGUUUAAUCAUUCGUUUUAUUUGAAAAAAAUUACAAUUAAUAUUUUUAUUGUUAUUAGAUGAUAAAACAUCAAUAGUAUUUUAUGUGUGGCUAAUUUUUUAAAUAUUUUUUAUAAAUUUUUUAAAUAAGACGGAUGGUCAAAACGCUAAAUAUGGAUAUCUAUGGCUGCACUUAUU
rfam:Oryza nivara chromosome 2, whole genome shotgun sequence.